CUGCAGCACACGGCGGUAGGACAGAGUGCAUAGCCAGCACAGCAGCUUCCCAUCCACCUGAAAACACACACACAGGACAGUGGAAAAUGCGUCGUCAUUCAAACCGGAUGCGGCCAACGACAGAAGAAAGAAAGAGAAGCCAAUCAUGACACAUCAUUAGUGCGCGGGACUUUGUAUUUUGAAACACAGAAGCCAAUCACAGUGCAAAACAACACAGCGAUUAAGUUCCAUUAAGCUGCCUCAAUUUGUAUCACUGUGAUAAGAGGAAUAUGGAAACAAAGUAACUAGAAUGUACAUAUGCUGUAUUACUGUUAGAUCUUUUAAUUCUAAAAGCUAGCUGCUACAUGUAAUUAAAUGUCACUGUCAGGUGGCUGGGGAUAAAAGAGAACAAUAUAUUCAUACCGUUGUGUACAUUGUCAGAGUCAUUCUGAAAAUAUUAGGCAAUGCAAUGGUACUAUGAAUUCUGUUGAAGAUUGUGUUCACAACACACAUUUAAUUUGUGGUGGUCUUUUAUUUAUCAUUAAAUUAAGUCAACAGCAACCGGGGUCAAUCCUGGAUCAAAGAGCAAAGUAAAUCCAGGCUGGAUAAACUGCUGAUGUGCUGGGCCAUAUGCUGUGGUUCACAGGCAAUAUAAAGUACUUUGUCAUGUUGUGUCUACCUACCUACUAACAAUAUAUUGGUGAUCAUAAUAUAUAAGGACAAGAAAUAGUUUUAUUUCCAAUUUUGCAAAUUAACAUUUAAACAAAAACAAAUAAAUUAUCAAAAUAUUGCGGUCAAACGUGUAUUGUUGACAGGCAUGGGUUUACAGUCCAUGGUAGUCAGCUUGUUCUAAGUUAAUGGCCCACAAUUAAAUUGACCAUAACAUUCUUACCAAAUUAAUUAUUCUACUAACACAUAAAUAUUAGUUAAACAGUUAAUGAUUUAUAUUGAUUAAGGAUGUGCCCUUGCGAGGCCAUGAAAAAAGCCACUUCAUCAUUGCGCUAGUGGGGAAUGAGCCUCACUACUUUUCCUCUGGUUAGUAAUCAGAUCACUGUUCAAAGACAACAUCCUGUUGUGACUAUUUAUUUUAAACAACAGUGCAAAGCUCUACAUCACUGUGCCUGUGAGAUGCAUGUUGUUGGCGAUUCUUAACAUUUUCCAUGGAGGAAUGGUUAGUGCCAUCUGUGGCAUUCAGUUUCUAGUUUCUGUAGAAUGUGUUAUUCGAUACAUAUGCAGCAUUUAUUAACAACCUGUGGGUAUGACCUUUCAACUAAACCAUGUCAUGCACAUUGUCAAUUUUACUGAUCUGUUUUGGGUAAACAGUCCGCAUCGUGACGUACAUCAUCAUCAUCACCAAAGCCCUCAAGUUAUCACCUAAUUAUAACUGAGACUCAGAGCUCAGUAUUAACCUAAAAGUCUAUGGUAUAAACUGUACACACAACCUAGGCUAAGAGAAUGGAAAUAAUAUGUAGUUAA